rnacentral:rRNA from 1 species
AUUGAACGCUGGCGGCAGGCCUAACACAUGCAAGUCGAACGGUAACAGGAAGAAGCUUGCUUCUUUGCUGACGAGUGGCGGACGGGUGAGUAAUGUCUGGGAAACUGCCUGAUGGAGGGGGAUAACUACUGGAAACGGUAGCUAAUACCGCAUAAUGUCGCAAGACCAAAGAGGGGGACCUUCGGGCCUCUUGCCAUCGGAUGUGCCCAGAUGGGAUUAGCUAGUAGGUGGGGUAACGGCUCACCUAGGCGACGAUCCCUAGCUGGUCUGAGAGGAUGACCAGCCACACUGGAACUGAGACACGGUCCAGACACCUACGGGAGGCAGCAGUGGGGAAUAUUGCACAAUGGGCGCAAGCCUGAUGCAGCUAUGCCGCGUGUAUGAAGAAGGCCUUCGGGUUGUAAAGUACUUUCAGCGGGGAGGAAGGGAGUAAAGUUAAUACCUUUGCUCAUUGACGUUACCCGCAGAAGAAGCACCGGCUACUCCGUG